GCCGGGAUGGCAGCAGCCUCAGCUGACUCAUUCUGGACACAGGCAACGAGGGAGAGGAGGGCAGCCAGCUGGCUACUCCUGCCUCCAUCCCAGCAGGGCGUGAGGACCCAGGAGCUCUGAAGGGCUGCAGGCAGAACCAAUCUCAGGAUCUGGAGCCAAAGCCCCAGCCAGCCCUACCAGAUCCUGUCCACACAGGCGAAGGCAGCAGCAAAGAGUCAGUCAGGCAUGCUGUGAACCCUCUGCCCAGCCCAGUCCCCAGUGGACUAACAACAGAAGCAUUUCCCAGGAUGGCUGAGAUCUCACGCCCCUCCUGCCUCGCUCACGCUCACGGUCUCAGUUUCCUUAUCCAGAGACUCUGGUUAAAGCUUUUUGUAAGGGCCCUGCCCCCACGAGCAGACUUGGAAAACUGCCUGGUGUGUCCCGCCAGGCACCAAACGCUGUAGGCAGCCCCUUCCCCAGCUCGGCAGCCCUCGGCAGCCUGGCCUGGUGACGGUGACGAUGACGAGCAGCAGCUCACACCGCCUCCCUCUCCC